rnacentral:rRNA from 1 species
CAAAGCUGAAACUUAAAGGAAUUGACGGAAGGGCACUACAAGGCAUGGAGCCUGCGGCUCAAUUUGACUCAACGCGGGCGAACCUACUCAGGCCGGACACUGGAAGGAUUGACAGAUUAAGAGCUCUUUCUUGAUUCAGUGGAGGGUGGUGCAUGGCCGCUGUCAGUUCGUGGAGUGAUCUGUCUGGUUAAUUCCGUCAACGAACGAGACUCUAACCUGCUAAAUAGACGUUCCGAUCAUACCCGUCGGACGGUUCUUCUUAGAGGGACAAGCGGUUUCCAACCGCGCGAGGCAGAACAAAUGCAGGUCUGUAAUGCCCCUAGAUGUCCGAGGCCGCACGCGCGCUACAAUGAAGGAAUCAGCGUGUGAUUUCCCCGCUCGGCAGAGUUGGGUAACCCUUUCAACUUUCUUCGUGAUUGGGAUAGGAGCUUGUAACUAUUCUCCUUGAACGAGGAAUGCCUAGUAAGCGCGAGUCAUAAUCUCGUGUUGAUUACGUCCCUGUCCUUUGUGCACACCGCCCGUCGCUAUCUCCGAUUGAAUGACGUAGUGAGGUCUUUGGACUGGCGCUCGGAGCGGCUUCACGGUCGCGCCGAUGUGCCGGAAAGAUGAUCGAACUUUGCCAUUUAGAGGAAGUAAA